rnacentral:lncRNA from 1 species
CUCAAUUUGAGCAAUAGUAUAUUUCCAGCAGGGAACUUUUUUUUUCUUUCUCAUGUUGCUGGUUACUUGAAACCUGCCCUUUAAUUGCCGUGAUGCUGCAAUUUAAGCUAAUUAGCUUCUGGGUAUGACUCCUUCCCAGCUCGCCAUCUGACCCCGAAAUCCGAGCUUGCUGCUGGACCCCUCUGCGGGGCUCCGAGCACAGUCUCCACGCAGCAGCCUCCCCACAUUGGCGAGGACGGUGCCCACUGACGCUUGGACAAAUCAGGCCUUGGCCCUGCUCUCUCCUCGGUCCAGCUCUCGGCAGCGAAAUGAGCAACCGCUCUCUCAGAAGUUCUAACACCCACAGAGGAGCCAGAGGGGGAGCCGCAGUCUCCAGGUAGUGAGCCUCAGUACGGCACCUGCUCCAUAGGGCACCAUCUGUCCUCUGGGGAGCCUGGGCCGAUGUUGGUACUUGCGUUCGUUUCUGCCCUUUGGGGAUAAUUCAUCAUCGUAGAUGACGGAAUCUCCUGCGUCAUUCAGCCAUUCUUGGCUGUUUAAAAAAAAAAAAAAAUGGCUAGAGCCUAAGCUGAAUCUCUGCCUUUUGAGUCAGCCCGGAGAGAGGCAAAGAAGAAUCUCUUUCCGUUCAGGCUGCGUCUACGACACCCAUUGGCUGUGCAAUGGGUGAGGUUUUCCCAGGCGAUUUUGAUUUCUGUUGUUUGCUCUUUUCCUCGGCUGUUUUGAGCACUGUCUGCGCGUCACGCGCUCCUUGGAGACAUUUAACUUCAUCCCCUCUAGGAGGCCGACCACGCGGGGCGGUGAUGAGAAGCUGUUCUGGCUCGGAUCCCAGCAUGUACUCGUUGUGCAACAUUCUGUUCCCAGAGCCUCUCGGUCUUCGGAUGGUACGAGUCUCACUCGGAAAAGUAAGAGCAAAGAUGAGAAUCGGAACAGAGGAAAGAACGAUGUCACACUUAGUAGAUGCUCAGUAAAAGGGGUUUUAUUCAUUUGAAUGAAGUUAAGGUGGUGUCUGUUCUGAGUAAAUCAGUGCUCCGGAGCAAAAUAAAAAUGCAAACGUUCUGUGAGUUUUCA